rnacentral:rRNA from 1 species
AUCGAACGCUGGCGGCAGGCCUAACACAUGCAAGUCGAACGAGUGGCGGACGGGUGAGCAAUGUCUUGGCAACUGCCUGAUGUAGGGGGCUAACUACUGGAACCGGUAGCUAAUACCGCAUACCCUCGGCUCUGCCCAGAGGGGAUUAGCUAGUAGGUGGGGUAAAGGCUCACCUAGGCGACGAUGCCUAGCUGGUCUGAGAGGAUGACCAGCCACACUGGAACUGAGACACGGUCCAGACUCCUACGGGAGGCAGCAGUGGGGAAUAUUGGGCAAUGGGCGAAAGCCUGAUGCAGCCAUGCCGCGUGAGUGAAGAAGGCCUUCGGGUUGUAAAGCACUGUUGGCAGAGAAGCGUUACCUAAACAAAAAGCAACGGCUAACUCCGUGCCAGCAGCCGCGGUAAUAC